AUGCUGAAGGAUCUGAUUCGUGCUCUCUGGCAAGUUCUGGUUACGGUUCAUCUGAAGCAGACGUCAGGUCAAUUUUUGGGUCUUCACAUUCCAAAGAUACAUCUCUCAUAAGCAGAUUCAAGUCAGGGGUCCUGAAAAUAUUUAACAGCAAGGAAUUCACACCACCACUGAUGAGUGGAGAUGAGAAGUCGAACACAUCGUCUCUGGGAAGUUCAGAAGCACACAUCAGGUCUUCACAUUCCAGAGAUUCAUCUCACACAAGAAGAUAUGAGUCCAGUGUCCUAAAAAUACAUAGCAUGGGGUUCACACCACCACUGACGAGUGGAGAUGAGCGGUCGGACUCAUGGUCUGUGGGAAGUUCUGCUUACGGUUCAUUCAGCUCACUAUCAGGAGAAGACGGCAGUUCAGUUUUUAGCUCAUCACACUCAAAAGUCUCAUCUCACAGCUCAGGAUUGGGGUCUUUGCAGCCCAUUUCUCACUCUGUUGAACAUUCAAGAACCAAAAGAACACAGGAUGUGCCCAAGGUCUCAAAAUAUGAGCAUAAAGACACUGAUUUAGACACUGACGUGAAGUGAUGGCUGAAUAAUCAUGUUUAACUGUAACAUAUACAAAACAGCUUAAAGUAAUAAUCAAAUGAUUCUAUAAAUAAGUGUUCUUUAUUUUAAAAACAGAACAAUAGGUCAUUUUUGGUGUUAUAAUAUCAUAAUACAUUUUCUACAGAUUGAUCUACAAUAUCACAAUUUCUCUGUAGUUUAUCUACAUAAUCAGUGUUUCCCUGUACUUGUCACAUUUUUCCAAAUUAAGGCUUUAAAUAAAUUGUCAUGCAGUUUAUCAGGACUGCAGGAUCAACCUGUAAUCCCUGCCAAAAAUAUUAACUAUUUAUCCUCGUCUAGAACAGAUUUUAUUAUCGUCCCUAGGUUUAAUGGAUUAAUGAUCAAACUCCAAUUAUUUGUUUCAAUUACAGCAGCCAGUUUUGUUGUAUUUUCGGACAGACCUGCAAAAUAGGGAAAUAGCCAUUAAAGUGCCUGUCUGCAGUGCUCGUAUACUUAUAACCUUUUGUUGUGUUUGAUUUUGUAUGUUACAAUCAUUUUUUUCCUUUUUUUUUUUGGUUAAAAAAAAUUAUAAUCCUUAACUUGCAGGUAUCUGUAGAAGUCAGUAACAUAAGAUGUGCUGUCUAUAUAUUAUAUCAGAAUACUUAUUUUAAAAUAUGUGCAUGCAUUAUAUUUUUACCAAAAAUUCAUAAAGGACAUGUCACUUUUUAACU